CACUCUUCCUUAUAUUACACUACUUAGCCUUCAAAUUUCAGAGAGUAUUACAAAUGAAGUCUCUUUGACUCUGUUUUCUCAUCAUUUUACCCAAGCCAUGGUCAACAGCUUCAAGAGAUACCGCAUGCAGGAUCUUAGUUCCCCGACCAGGGAUGGAACCUGUUUCUCUGCAGUGGAAGCACGGCAUCUUAAGCACUGGACUGCCAGGGAAGUCCCAACAGCAAUUGUUUUAAACCAUCUAAAAUUUAGAUGCUUCCAAAGAAUUCAAAUUAGGAUUCAUCAUAGCAUCACAUCCUUCAGAUUCAUAUUUUACUUGUUUAAGUUAAUGGUCAAUAAAUUAUUAAACUGUU